GAGUGAGAGCCAGGCAUCUGUUCUGAAGCUAGUUUCUGGACACGCUCUCACUGGUUCCAGAAUCUCCUCUUCUGCAACUUCUGCAAUGGAAAAUGUUCUUCUCAGGGCCUCUCCUGUGGUCCCUGAAGAAGAACUCCAGCUGAUGUAGAAGAAAUAUGGAAUUAGGAAAAUCACCAUUUUUGCAACCCCUAAUGAAAUAACUGAUCAAAACAAGACUCUUCAAUGGAUGAAGCUAAGGAUGGUGGUUGAUGGAGAACUUUACGAUGGAGGAAUGAAGCUGUAACUACCUGACCCUACUGAUGAAUCUGAGCAUUACUAAAAAGAGCACCACCACAUAGCCUGUACCUCCUGAUAUGAUGCAAUCUGAAGCACUCAGCACCACCUGUGAAGGACUCUUGCCAAACAAAGAAACAAACAAAAAAAACUGAACAUGAUUCUAAUCAAACCCUACUGCUAACCUCCAUUUAAUAGGAAAUAUGGGGGGGUGGAGAACAAAUUAAAUGGCACAACAAGGAAGUAAAACAAAAUAUCCAGAAUGUGGGGCAUUCUAAAGGAAAUCUGACCUGAUUUCUUUGACCAGUCAAUGGCUGAAGAGGAGGGUCAAUGAGAGGGGGGCGUACAAAGACAGCUACUACACAGAAUAAGUGGACCUUGUUUGAUUCCUGAUGGGAACCUCCCAAUUGUAAAAAGACAUUUUUAGACUGUUGAAAACAUUUAAUUAUUUAUUUAACAUUUAAUUAAACAUUUAAUUUAAUUAUGAACUGAGUACUUACAAUGCCAAGGAAUCAGUGUUGAUUUUGUUAAAUGUGAAAAUGGCCUUGAGGUUAUGUAAGAAAAGGUCCUUAUUUCCUAGAGAUGCAUACUGAAGCAUGGAAUGAAGUGAUGUAUUUAAGUAUUUUGGCAAAUAAAAGAAAGGAGGAGAAGGAACAAAGGGAUAAAAAUCAAUAUUGUUGAAUUAAGUAUAUAGGGUUUCAUAGAACCUCUCUACCUUUAUUUGAACAUUUUCAUAAUAAAAGUUUUAAAUGAUG
ensembl:lncRNA